rnacentral:rRNA from 1 species
AUCCACAGCCAUCCGCCCCAAACACACCCAACCUCAUCCGUUCUCAGAAGCUAAGUAGGCAGGCCAGUUAGCACCUAGAUGGGAGAAACCCUUCAAUGCUGCUAGUGCCUGCAGGUC